ensembl:lncRNA
CGACUCCAGAAAUACUAGACUCCAUGCCGUGUUGAUGGUCAUUAGAGUGGACAGACCAGUGUGAACACGCACACAUACACACACACUUGGACUGGACGCUCAAAGUUAUUAGAACGCUUUUUAGGAAAUUAAGACUAGGAGAGGAAGACAACAAGAGAGAAGAUCAUGAAAACUGGACGCUCAAUCACUAUCUGUCAUCUCUGAAACAGACCUACGCACUUGCUGUGGAGGAAAGAACUUGUUUGGAGACGAGGUGAAAUCCGUGCUCUGGUCAUCCGGCGGCUUCACAGACAAAACCAACACGCAGCGGCAAGAACAAUAUACAAAAGCGUCUCUGUGCUCCUCCAGAUCCCCCGGGUUUCGCUGCUACCCACCCCAGCCAAAUGACACCCCGCUGGGGCUACAGCAGAGGUCUCUCCCCGAACAGACGGCUCUACAUCCACAGAGGUGUUCAUGGAAUGCAUAGGUCUAAUUGGGCUCCUGAGUGGCACAGCGGUCAAAGGCACUGCAUCUCAGUGCUUGAUGCGUCACUACAGCCACCCAGGUUCGAUUCCAGGCUGUAUCACAUCUGGCCGUGAUCGGGAGUCCUAUAGCAUCAUCCGGGGUAGACCUUCAUUGUGAAUAGGAAUUUGUUCUUAACUGACUUGCCUAGUUAAAUAAAGGUUAAAAAAAG